GCCCUUUGUAUAAAUAAAAGGUGUCUCCUGCCCAGUGAUUCUUAAUUAAAUAAUAAUAAAUUUAUUAAAAUAAAAUCAAACGGAAGCAGUAACCAUGACUGUAAUAAUGUAGCAUAAUCAUUAGCCAUUUAAUUGAUGGAUAGUAUGAAAGGAUAAACGAAUAUUUCACUGUCUUAGAAAAAGAAUUUAUGAAAUUGAGAUAAUAGUAAAGACGCUAUUUUAAAUUGUAAGACGAAAAGACCCUAUAGAGCUUCACUAUAAAUUUUUAUGUGUUCUAAACAUAUGAAAAUCUGGUAGUUUAGUUGGGGCGACUGUUUUUUAAAAAAAACAAAAACAAGCAAUAUUAAUCUAAAAAAUUUACUGUAUAAAAAACAAAUUUAACAGUUACCAAAGUAGGCGAUAAUGACCCGUUAUUAUUAAAAAAUACAAAUAACGUUCAAUAAAUAAAAGCUACCUUAGGGAUAACAGGAUAAUUUUGUGUUAGAGUUCAUAUUAAACACAAAGUUUGUCACCUCUAUGUUGAAUUGAGAUUUCCUAAUGGAGUAGAAACUAUUAAGGGUAGGUCUGUUCGACCUUUAAAAUCUU
rnacentral:rRNA from 1 species